rnacentral:rRNA from 1 species
AACGUAGGAGACAAACGUUAUCCGGAGUUACUGGGCGUAAAGGGCGUGUAGGUGGUUUCGUAAGUCUGGCGUGAAAUUUCUCGGCUUAACCGAGGCAGGUCGUCGGAUACUAUGAGACUAGAGGACGGUAGAGGCGUGUGGAAUUCCGGGUGUAGUGGUGAAAUGCGUAGAGAUCCGGAGGAACACCAGUGGCGAAGGCGACACGCUGGGCCGUACCUGACACUGAUGCGCGAAAGCCAGGGUAGCAAACGGG